UUACUGUUCUGUUUUUAUCAAAGAAUAAUAUAUCAGUUAUAUUAUGUCUUGCAGCGGUAACCGUUUUGAGCGUCGUAUUGGUUGAUAUUUAUUACAUAAACAAUGAUAAAUGCUAUAGAUAAUACUUAAAUUCUGUCUGUUUGCACGAACUUGGGGUGGGUGCAUGUUUACUGUAACAGCGCGUUAGCCAGCAGGUCCGCUGACUACCCAUCCUUUGUGUUGUGUGAGACGUAGCAGUAGUGCCACGUAGCGGUAGUUUCUGUCAAAUCAGAAGUGUUAAGUAGCAGUUUGAUUGCCCGUGAGUGUUGAGAACGAUAGUUUGGUGUUCUGAAGAGGAUUAGACAGAACUCAGUAUUGGAAUAUUUGAAGCUAUUUACGAAUUUGCCUACCCUGCCUCGAGGCAUACUGGACAAAGAGGCCUUGCAGGUAGCCGUAGUCGGGCUGCAGGGGUCGGCUCUGGGGCUCGCACAUUUUUGGCUCAAUUGGACACCGGGUUAUUUCUUCGGGGCUAAAUCGGCCGGGGCGUGAAGCUGAUCAUUAAACUCGAUCUAGUGUCGAGGUUAAGAAUACGUGGAUUUAUAUCUCCGCUUUCCACGGCGUGGUGAAUAAUUAAACACCAGCGACAACUUCACAUUUACGAUUCCUUUAUGUAGCAGUAAAAUUUGUAUCACCUUAAUACACUUUUGCUUGAAAAGUGCCUGAUGUACACCUUCAUACUGAACAGACAGACUGGUUCGUUGAUUAUUUAACAGUGCUGUAAUAACAACGUUUGUUACUUAAUACCAUAAGAGGCGUUUGUGUAAUUAUGUACAAAUAAAUGGAUAAGACUUGGAGAAAUAGGUUGUGGCACAUUUUAAGCUAUCCAGUGAGCACACGCGUAUGGAGAGACGUAAUCUUAUUAUUGUGACUUGCGAGACAAAAACGGAAGUACACUGUUUUAAGAAUUCAUCGAUAUUUAUCGCAGCAUAAAUAGUCCGAAGUAAAUAUUUGGAAUAUGUAAAUUUUAAAUAAGUAAUGAGCGAAUACGUAAUAAUACAUAGGCGAAACUAAAGUAGUUCCUGUGCCGUGCCGAGUAAAAAUCAAG